rnacentral:rRNA from 1 species
AAGCGUGGACGCCAGUCUGCGUGGAGCCGACCUUGAAAUACCACCCUUUAAUGUUUGAUGUUCUAACGUGGACCCGUAAUCCGGGUUGCGGACAGUGUCUGGUGGGUAGUUUGACUGGGGCGGUCUCCUCCUAAAGAGUAACGGAGGAGCACGAAGGUUGGCUAAUCCUGGUCGGACAUCAGGAGGUUAGUGCAAUGGCAUAAGCCAGCUUGACUGCGAGCGUGACGGCGCGAGCAGGUGCGAAAGCAGGUCAUAGUGAUCCGGUGGUUCUGAAUGGAAGGGCCAUCGCUCAACGGAUAAAAGGUACUCCGGGGAUAACAGGCUGAUACCGCCCAAGAGUUCAUAUCGACGGCGGUGUUUGGCACCUCGAUGUCGGCUCAUCACAUCCUGGGGCUGAAGUAGGUCCCAAGGGUAUGGCUGUUCGCCAUUUAAAGUGGUACGCGAGCUGGGUUUAGAACGUCGUGAGACAGUUCGGUCCCUAUCUGCCGUGGGCGCUGGAGAACUGAGGGGGGCUGCUCCUAGUACGAGAGGACCGGAGUGGACGCAUCACUGGUGUUCGGGUUGUCAUGCCAAUGGCACUGCCCGGUAGCUAAAUGCGGAAGAGAUAAGUGCUGAAAGCAUCUAAGCACGAAACUUGCCCCGAG